UCGUAGCCCGGAUAGCAGCGGUAUCCUUCCUGUGGUUCCUUUAACCACAGGAAGAUAUAGCGUAUAGCCGGAAAUAGC
rnacentral:sRNA from 1 species